UUUCUUUGCCCUAGCAGAGGUUUUCUGAGCAGUUUGCUGAAGAUGGAAAGAGUUGUGUCCAGGUAGCGUGUGCAAAUGGCAUAAAUACUAUUUCCAAUGCUAGGGAAUGAUUCAUCAUUAAUGUGGCUCUUUCUUUUAAUUGGGCAGACAAUAUUUUUGUUACCUUUUCCACUCCACAUUAAUUGCCAUAAUUUCUCAAGAAUCCAAAUCCAUAUUUCCAAUGCUAGGGAAUGAUUCAUCAUUAAUGUGGCUCUUUCUUUUAAUUGGGCAGACAAUAUUUUUGUUACCUUUUCCACUCCACAUUAAUUGCCAUAAUUUCUCAAGAAUCCAAAUCC
rnacentral:lncRNA from 1 species